UGGGGAAUAUUGGACAAUGGGGGGAACCCUGAUCCAGCCAUGCCGCGUGUGUGAAGAAGGCCUUAUGGUUGUAAAGCACUUUAAGCGAGGAGGAGGGUACUGGUAUUAAUACUACCAGGUACUGGACGUUACUCGCAGAAUAAGCACCGGCUAACUCUGUGCCAGCAGCCGCGGUAAUACAGAGGGUGCGAGCGUUAAUCGGAUUUACUGGGCGUAAGCGUGCGUAGGCGGCUAAUUGAGUCGGAUGUGAAAUCCCCGAGCUUAACUUGGGAAUUGCAUUCGAUACUGGUUAGCUAGAGUGUGGGAGAGGAUGGUAGAAUUCCAGGUGUAGCGGUGAAAUGCGUAGAGAUCUGGAGGAAUACCGAUGGCGAAGGCAGCCAUCUGGCCUAACACUGACGCUGAGGUACGAAAGCAUGGGGAGCAAACAGG
rnacentral:rRNA from 1 species